AUGGGAUGCAAUCGUCUUGUUAUUAACUUCGAUAAUAUGGAAGUCAUCAACACAAUGAAGAAUGAAGGGCAAUUGGCGGGAGCGGCGGUGGCAGUCUUUGAUGAUUGCUAUUUUUUGUCUUGUGAUUUUCCUCUUACUGCGUUUGAACAUUGUAAUGGGGAAGCAAAUAAGGUGGCUCAUGAACUUGCUAGGUUAGUGAAAAUUUCGGUGACAAGGGAUUGUUUUGAGGAGCCCUUGGUUAAAAUUGUAACUUUUCUUAUAGACGAUGUAACUGUUAUUUCCAAUUAA
rnacentral:rRNA from 1 species